AGUGAACGCUGGCGGUAGGCCUAACACAUGCAAGUCGAACGGCAGCACAGUAAGAGCUUGCUCUUACGGGUGGCGAGUGGCGGACGGGUGAGGAAUACAUCGGAAUCUACUUUUUCGUGGGGGAUAACGUAGGGAAACUUACGCUAAUACCGCAUACGGCCUACGGGUGAAAGCAGGGGAUCUUCGGACCUUGCGCGAUUGAAUGAGCCGAUGUCGGAUUAGCUAGUUAGCGGGGUAAAGGCCCACCAAGGCGACGAUCCGUAGCUGGUCUGAGAGGAUGAUCAGCCACACUGGAACUGAGACACGGUCCAGACUCCUACGGGAGGCAGCAGUGGGGAAUAUUGGACAAUGGGCGCAAGCCUGAUCCAGCCAUACCGCGUGGGUGAAGAAGGCCUUCGGGUUGUAAAGCCCUUUUGUUGGGAAAGAAAAGCAGCAGGUUAAUACCCCGCUGUUCUGACGGUACCCAAAGAGUAAGCACCGGCUAACUUCGUG
rnacentral:rRNA from 1 species